rnacentral:rRNA from 1 species
GUGCCAGCAGCCGCGGUAAUACGGAGGGUGCAAGCGUUGUCCGGAUUUAUUGGGUUUAAAGGGUGCGUAGGCGGUUCUUUAAGUCAGUGGUGAAAUACUGCAGCUCAACUGUAGCAUUGCCAUUGAUACUGAAGAACUUGAGUACAGAUGAGGUAGGCGGAAUUUAUGGUGUAGCGGUGAAAUGCAUAGAUACCAUAAAGAACACCGAUUGCGAUGGCAGCUUACUAAGCUGUAACUGACGCUGAGGCACGAAAGCGUGGGGAGCGAACAGGAUUAGAUACCCGGGUAGUCC